AACGAACGCUGGCGGCGUGCCUAACACAUGCAAGUCGAACGAGAAAGGUACCUUCGGGUACUGAUUAAAGUGGCGGACGGGUGAGUAACACGUGAACAACGUACCUUCGAGCGGGGGACAACCAUUGGAAACGAUGGCUAAUACCGCAUAAGACCACACUCUCUUCGGGGAGAGGGGUCAAAGGCUUCGGCCACUCGGAGAUCGGUUCGCGGCCCAUUAGUUAGUUGGUGAGGUAAUGGCUCACCAAGACCGAGAUGGGUAGCUGGUCUGAGAGGAUGAUCAGCCACACUGGGACUGAGACACGGCCCAGACUCCUACGGGAGGCAGCAGUGGGGAAUCUUGCGCAAUGGACGAAAGUCUGACGCAGCAACGCCGCGUGUGUGAUGAAGGCCUGUGGGUCGUAAAGCACUGUCAGGAGGGAAGAAGAUCUGACGUGUACCUCCAAAGGAAGCACCGGCUAACUCCG
rnacentral:rRNA from 1 species